rnacentral:ncRNA from 19 species
AGGUAGAUAAACAGAUAUGGUGAUAGGUUAUCCUACUCUUUAGAUAGCCUAUAAAAGGGAAUCCAGUGAAAGUCUGGAGCAGUGCCCGCUACUGUAAGCUUUGAAAUAAGCUUUGGAUAUUCGUAUUUAUUUACCACUACCUCAUAAGGUGGGAAGGUAUUCCAAAGUAAAGCAAGUCAGGAAACCUGCCAUAUCAUAGUGUGUAUUG